UAGGAACUGCCUACGCAAGUAGUGAGGAAGCGGGGAUGACGUCAAAUCAGCACGGCCCUUACGUCCAGGGCUACACACGUGCUACAAUGGCCGAUACAGAGGGCAGCUACCUGGUGACAGGAUGCAAAUCUCCAAAGUCGGUCUCAGUUCGGAUCGGAGUCUGCAACCCGACUCCGUGAAGUUGGAUUCGCUAGUAAUCGCGCAUCAGCCAUGGCGCGGUGAAUACGUUCCCGGGCCUU
rnacentral:rRNA from 1 species